UCCGUAGGCGGGCAAUUAAGUCAGAGGUGAAAUCCCACAGCUCAACUGUGGAACUGCCUUUGAUACUGGUUGUCUUGAGUUAUAGUGAAGUAGAUAGAAUAUGUAGUGUAGCGGUGAAAUGCAUAGAUAUUACAUAGAAUACCGAUUGCGAAGGCAGUCUACUAACUGUACACUGACGCUAAUGGACGAAAGCGAGGGGAGCGAACAGGAUUAGAUACCCUGGUAGUCC
rnacentral:rRNA from 1 species